rnacentral:rRNA from 1 species
AGCAGCCGCGGUAAUUCCAGCUCCAAUAGCGUAUAUUAAAGUUGUUGCAGUUAAAAAGCUCGUAGUUGAAUUUCGGGAUCAAUAUACCGGUCGUGCCUUUGGUACGUACUGGUAUCAUUGAUUUCUCCCUUCUGACGAAUCAUGAUGUCAUUAAUUUGGUGUUAUGAGGAGUUAGGACUGUUACUUUGAAAAAAUUGAGUGUUUAAAGCAGGCAUUAGCUUGAAUACAUUAGCAUGGAAUAAUGAAAUAGGACGUUUGACCCUAUUUUGUUGGUUUCUAGGAUCGACGUAACGAUUAAUAGGGAUAGUUGGGGGCAUUAGUAUUCAAUUGUCAGAGGUGAAAUUCUUGGAUUUAUUGGAGACUAACUACUGCGAAAGCAUUUGCCAAGGAUGUUUUCAUUAAUCAAGAACGAAAGUUAGGGAUCGAAGACGAUCAGAUACCGUGUAGUCUUAACCAUAAACUAUAGCCGACUAGGGNUCGGAUGAUGUUAAUUUUUAGUGACUUCAUUCGCGUCCUUAAC